AGCAAUACCUGAGUACAGCGGCGCACGGGUGAGUAACACGUGGANAACCUGCCUCAAAGUGGGGAAUAACACCGGGAAACCGGUGCUAAUACCGCAUAUUCUGACGAAGUCUGCGGAUUUUGUCAGGAAAGGAGCAAUUCGCUAUGAGAGGGGUCCGCGGCUGAUUAGCUAGUUGGUGAGGUAAUGGCUCACCAAGGCCACGAUCAGUAGCCGGUCUGAGAGGACGGUCGGCCACACUGGAACUGAGACACGGUCCAGACUCCUACGGGAGGCAGCAGUGGGGAAUUUUUCGCAAUGGGGGCAACCCUGACGAAGCAAUGCCGCGUGGAUGAUGAAGUAUCUCGGUACGUAAAAUCCUUUCGACGGGGACGAAGCCGCAAGGUUGACGGUACCCGUAGAAGAAGCCCCGGCUAACUCCGUGCCAGCAGCCGCGGUAAUACGGGGGGGGCAAGCGUUGUUCGGAAUUACUGGGCGUAAAGGGUGCGUANGCNGCUUUCUAAGUCGGAUGUGAAAACUCUGGGCUCAACCCAGAGCCUGCAUCCGAAACUGGAGAGCUAGGUUCUGGAGGGGAAAGCGGAAUUCCUGGUGUAGCGGUGAAAUGCGUAGAUAUCAGGAGGAACACCGGUGGCGAAGGCGG
rnacentral:rRNA from 1 species